CAGCAGCCGCGGUAAUACGGAGGGAGCUAGCGUUGUUCGGAAUUACUGGGCGUAAAGCGCGCGUAGGCGGUUACUCAAGUCAGAGGUGAAAGCCCGGGGCUCAACCCCGGAACUGCCUUUGAAACUAGGUGACUAGAAUCUUGGAGAGGUCAGUGGAAUUCCGAGUGUAGAGGUGAAAUUCGUAGAUAUUCGGAAGAACACCAGUGGCGAAGGUGACUGACUGGACAAGUAUUGACGCUGAGGUGCGAAAGCGUGGGGAGCAAACAGGAUUAGAUACCCGCGUAGUCCCUGUCUCUUAUAC
rnacentral:rRNA from 1 species